rnacentral:rRNA from 1 species
GUCACGACUCUCGGCAAUGGAUAUCUCGGCUCUCGCAUCGAUGAAGAGCGCAGCGAAAUGCGAUAUGUGGUGCGAAUUGCAGAAUCCCGCGAACCAUCGAGUCUUUGAACGCAAGUUGCGCCCGAGGCCAGCCGGCCAAGGGCACGUUCGCCUGGGCGUCAAGC